ensembl:piRNA 21ur-3041 ncRNA
UAAUCCAGUGUGAACUGAUUG